AUAAUUAAUGUAUUUUUUGAAAGUUCUCUUUACUUGAAGACAUGAAGCCGUACAGUAAUGAAUGAAGGGGUUAUAAUUACAUUUAUUAGAAUAUUUAAGAGAUACCACAACAUGGGAAAUGAUUCAGUCAGACUUGGAGGUUUUAUACAGUUUGCAUAUUUUUAGUUGUAAAGUAACACCGUAUAAAGAAAACCUUUUCUAGACAAAAAUAAUUGCGGAAAGAUGACAAAAAUAAAUCCUAAAUUUGUAGUGUAAAUAUAAACUGUUUUUGAACUUCAGGGAAAGCCUUAAUUAAUGUAAAUAUUUUCUUUGUUACCAGGUAAGCAAAGAUCUGUAUACUGCAAGAAUUUGGGGACUACUAAAGAAAAGGUCAUAUGAUUGGGAAAUGAAAACUUCUUAUCGGUGUGGAAGAGAAUGUGACUGAUGGAGGUGUUCACCCAAAUUGAAAAUUUCAACUUUUUUUUUUUUUUUUUUUUUUUUUUCUUUAGUUUAAAAUUUCAUUUAUCUGCAUCACUUGUAAAAUGGGUUUUCUUGGGAGGGAAUGCAGUCAAUGUGUUGGAAAGGGAGCAGACCCAAGAGAACUGGGAUUUUGUAUAGCUAAAACCUCUUGGACAUCCAUUAAAGUAUUGGGUUGUUUUGGAAGUUGUAUUAGGAGGAGCUUCUAGGAAAUGCAGAUCCUAUGAAUGGGGCCUGUUUUAGGAUUGAAGUCUGGCAAAAGUGAAAAGUUAUUGUGGAAGAGAAUCUAAAUCAAAUUCAUCCAAAGAUAAGGGAUUAGUACUGUUGUAAGAGAUGUACCCGAGUGUGAUAAAACUGUGGUGAUUCUGGCAACGGCCAGACACUGGGCACGGGAGUCUGCUACAUCAAGCCAAACAUCCUGCUCCAUGUGCUCUGGGGCGUCACAGCGUGUGCAGGCUUACCCCACAGACCAAGCGGUUUAUGAGGAUGGUACAUGUGAUCCAGUAGUGAUGGGUUAAGAAUGGUUUUCUUAGGAGGGAAUGGUAACCGUUCCUCAGAAAUGGUCCACAUUGUAAGAAUUAGAGUAUGAUGUGUAGCAGAACUUCCCGCUCAAUGCGCUCUUGUGUGUCGCCACACGGAUAGCUGUACCUGGCAGAUCAGUUUAUUACGGCUAUACAAGUGGCCCAGCAGUAAUGAGUUAAAGAUUGGUUGGUUUGAAAGCUACUUUGGAAGCAGUUUGUAGAAAUGAAGCUGAUCUUAAGAAUUGGUUCAUCACCGGGAAGGUAAUGCUUCUGUCUUCAGUGUGGAAAUAAGGAAUUCCAGUGAAGUUCAUUUUGCAUGAAAGGCAGUUUUACGUGAUAGUUGGGAAUGAAAGCUGUGGGUUUGCUUUUGGAUUAAAUGAAAUGCACUUUUUUAAUGAAAAGAGGAAGUAAGAACUUGCAAUGGAUUUGAGCAAAAGAUUUAUUUGGAGAGCAGGCAAGCAGUUAGUGGGAAUUUGGCAAGCUGUAAACAAACAUGAUAAUUCUCGUGUGAUGCUUAUUGAAUUGCUGUGUGGAAGGAGGAAAGCAUGUAUUGGUUAGAGGAAGGGAAGCUCUGCUGAAAUUUCAUCAGAGAAACAACUGUUAGUAGUCUAAAAGGGUACUAGAAGGUAUCUGAUCGGCAGCUCUGUACUCAAGCUCUUUACUCUUGCACAAAAUCAUUAAAUUUCUUUAUAUUUUUGGUAAAAUAACAUUUACUGUAACUGAAUUGAAUGGCUAGAAAAAUUAGUAUUUGGUGAUAUGUUAUAGAGCCAUUAAAAAAAAAAUAAUGAAUUGAUGAAUGUAAUAUA
rnacentral:lncRNA from 1 species